rnacentral:rRNA from 1 species
UACGUAGGGGGCGAGCGUUGUCCGGAUUUAUUGGGCGUAAAGAGCUCGUAGGCGGCCUGUCGCGUCGACCGUGAAAACCCGCAGCUCAACUGCGGGCUUGCGGUCGAUACGGGCAGGCUGGAGUUCGGUAGGGGAGACUGGAAUUCCUGGUGUAGCGGUGAAAUGCGCAGAUAUCAGGAGGAACACCGGUGGCGAAGGCGGGUCUCUGGGCCGAUACUGACGCUGAGGAGCGAAAGCGUGGGGAGCGAACAGG